rnacentral:lncRNA from 1 species
CCAUAACAGAAAUCAUGGUUAUAACUUUUAUUUUUCAAUAACAGUACUUUGAAAAAUGACAUUGUGUCUGUUUCUUCCAUUUUAAAAGGAAUACAACAUGUUUAAGACCACAGAACAUCUGCAUAGGCUGUAAAUUUCGUUAAAUGAUGGAUGCAAAGAUGGAAGACAGAUGGAUAGAGAAAAAGACAGAAUCAGAUACUGGAUGAGUUAGUACUGCUGCUUGUGCUUCAGAGCUGUCUUAUUACCACAAGGCCGGCAAGCAUCAAUGUCCCCACAUCCCCCUCUGCCUCCCCCUGAAAUGUACCGAUUUAUAUGAAAAUUAAGAUUACAAAUUAAAGCCUGGCUAUCCUGGAGUUUUCCAGUUCAUCAGCCAUCCAAUAAAAAUGAUGUCAAGCCUGUAUGCAUAAUUCCCGGAAGAUUACUUUCGUCCUUACAGCUAAGCCCUGUCCCUGAUAUGAAAGAUCUCUAUCCACUUUUAUUGAAAUAAAGAACUAACAUCAUAAUCCCAAUAUUGAGGUAUAAUCUUCAUUAUCUCCUGACCCUCUUGAGGUUCCCCCA